GCUUAGCGCUUCAAGGCAAUCUUGUUUUGGUUCGGACCGAAUGGUUUUGUGUCCAACGUUUCCCCACCAACACACGAAAGAUUACCUCACUAGCAAAACACUGCGCGACUGUGUACGGGUUUUGUGUUUUUCCUUCCCCCCAGUACAAAACCUCGCAUUUAGAAAAGUGCUCCACCGCAACGCUGUCGGAGACAUUCCGGCCAGCUGCAGUUUCGUAUUUGUUUUCGUUCUUCCGUAGCAUACGCUUUGUAGUAGGGUUGUUCCCGUACAUGUAGAGCGAGGUAGUGCACCGUGCUUUGUGGGGGUACAAUUGUGCUGCCUCAGCCUCAAUAUUUGGUGGCCGAUUUUUGUCACCAGUGGUGUUUUGAUGUAUUGUGUGUGGUGUGGUGCAUGGUAUGAGGGAACAAUUUGACUGAUUGUACGUGGACCUGCAAACCUCGGCACUCUUUUGCCACAAGUGCUCUUUUGUGUCACGAUUAGCGGAUGUGCUGAAGCGAACGAACAUCUUCAUCCGCCCACGGACCGUCUUUUGAAGGUCCUAACUUAACCACACAAGGAUCCGCGUGGUUGAGCAUACACAUAUUCGGUAAGAGGACAGCGAGCAGCAUAGUACAAAGCCCCGGCUCCGGCACGUUCGGCACAAUGAUGCAUAUGUCCUUUUGGUGGGGUUCCGACGUGGGCGAUGUGUUCUUUUCCGGGCUUACCGUUAGCGGCACAGGACCAAUGGUGGCACUUUGUCUCACGCUGACAGCGCUCUCCGUUGCCUACGAAGGGCUGAAGAUCCACGGUGCUAAGGUUCGCGCACGUACGGCCAGAGAACGGGUACGGUCCGGAUCGUGCCCGCCAAGCGAAAGUGCCACACUGCUGUCGCUGGAAGGCAGCGUCAGCAAUGGUCCACUGAGCGGUAGCACGCUGUCGCGCCGGAUCCGCAAGCUGCUCUCGGAAGCGAUUACCUUCCUGUUUCACAGCAUGCUUGGAUACGCGCUCAUGCUGACGGUGAUGGUGUACAACGGGUAUCUGUUCAUUGCCGUGGUCGGUGGUAUGGGCCUGGGGUACUUCCUGUUCGGCCACCUCUCGAUGAAGGUGAACAUGGAGAACAUUCAGGCACAGCAGACGAAGAUGAUCUGUACCACGCGCUGUCUACAGCAAGCUGAAAGCUGUGCAAUGAGCCAUUCGGCGCCCUGUCCAACCGGUCGUUCCUCCCGUUCCAAUUAUCAAACCCUGACCUAAUUCAUUCACCUGCCGUCACAUCAUUUUUAGGUAGAACACCAACCACCACCUAUCCACCAGCAUACCGUUUCCCACCCUGUAAGAUAACCCCGCUUCCGUAUCCUUCUUCUCUGUUCUCCAUCCAGUGUGCAGUAGCAUUUUGAAUCGGUAAACCCGUCCGCAUCGACCAGUCUUGAGCAUUAUCCGCGUAGCUCAUCGGCAGACGUCGAGAGUGCUACCGACAGUCGGUCUAAUGCCAUACCGCAUGGCUCUGGAUGUCAUUAGACAUGGUGUGAGCGGCAAACUGCAGCACAAAAACCUUAUCCUGACCCACCAUAACCACUAUCUUUUUGGGGCGCACAUGUUUUGCAGGGAGAACCCAUUCUUCCUACCGUAGGCAUGCCGCACAAACCGCAUCGAAACUGUGAUCUUUUUGCGCUAUCCCACUGGUGCUCUGGUGGAGGAACGAUUCUGGUUGCGUUAUCGAUUUAGAAAGUUGCCUGCUUUGAUUUCGAAAGGUGCCAAGAUUACCAUUUCAAAAACCAUUGACAAUAUGUAAGAAAAAGUGUACGUGUAGUUGUGUUAGUAUGCUGUAACGUUGAACCACCUCAACCGCAUCCGGCUUUAUAUUCAAUUGAUUUGUGAUAUUUUUAUUGCCCGUUUUCGUUUGCGUUAUAUUGGUUUAUUUUUUUACAAAAAAAAGUUUUUUUUACUGACAUAUAGUGCGAUACUUUCACAAUAAACCAAGAAUGUAUUAAAACUGAA